GGGUUACCACUGGAGGGGUUUGAGCAGAGCCAUGGCAUAUACUGAUCUACGUGUAUGUGUUUCUAAGCAAAACUUCUUGGAAGAAAAGGAAAUUCUUAGAAGCAAUUAGAGUAUCACACCCAUGCUAUACCCUUUGAUUCAUUAGCUUGCUCUGUUUUUCUGUUAUUUUGAAAUUACCCAAGUGGAAGCAGAAAAACUGCCAGGAAAAUGUCACAGCCACCCCUUACUGAACAGCAGAAACACCAGCAAAACACCAACUGCAACAUGGUGUAUUUUGAAGGUGAGAUUAAAUUUACCUACACCUAGAGAAAUAAUUGGAGCACAUGUCUAUUUGGGCCAAGAGGAUAAAGGCCAGUAGAGGAAUCAGAUCAAAGAACUUCCUCAGGGAAGUGUGCAGAGAACUGGAGUGGACCUUCCCCUAGGAAGCUGCCCAAAACGAGAGUGCUGGAAAGCUGGCCGCAGUGAGGCACUUCAGAUCCCAAGGGUAUGCUGGGGAAGCUGCCACAGGUGGGAGCACUUGCUGCUGGACCCUAGGCACUGUUGAAACAACUGCACCAUCUGCAGGAGCCCAGCAAGCCAAAGCCAGGCAUCCCAUCUGGAGAGAGAGAAGACUGAAGCAGAAACACAAUGGGAAGGAAGCAAAGAUGGAGAGAUGAGUUUUUGGAUUCAACUGAAGCCCUUGCUAUCUGCUAGAGUCAGAGUCAUCACAAUUGGGGGGUCUUCAUUAAGCUACACUUUUUAAUGGAACAUCCUAGUGAGGUUUGAGAGUACAGCUUUAUGGUCUAUAUUACAUUACUAAGCCGAUUUUAUUGGAAAGAACUUGUUUGCAUCCCUGCUAGACAAAAACCUACAAGUUAACCUUUGCCCGUAUGGAGUUGUAAAACAGACCAGUUGAUAGAAAGAGAAGCCUGCUUCCCGAAGCCCUCAGCAGAAGCCGAGCAGAUGUUGGCACCAUGCUUCUUGUACAGCCUGCAGAACUUGAAGAAACACUCCAUAUUAGUUUUCUGGAGCCAUCGUUAUGAAGCAACACAGACUGGGUGGCAUAAACAAUGGAGAUUUAUUUUUUCACAAUUCCGGAGGCUAGAAGUUUGAGAUCAAGGUGUUGGAAAGUGUCUCAGGAUGAUACAUACCGGUUUUUAACUUUGGUGUCAUCAAAUGCAAUUGCAAUGUGACUGUUUCUUGAAAGCCCGAACUGCUUGCUCCCUAUCAAAAGAGCUGGUUCUGAUUCUGCAGCACAAGGACCCUGUAAAAUACCCAGGAGAGAAAAACAGGAGAUUAUGGACUGUUCUUUAAAAAGUGCAAGGAGCACAUUGCUCAACCAAUUCCAUCGUGGACACUAAGGAAGAGAAUGAGAUAUUCAAGAGUUUUCAAGAUCUGCACUCAAGACAACAUUGCCCACCCAUUACUGGUAUGGAAUAUAACCACAACACAUGAGCUGUAAAGA
rnacentral:lncRNA from 1 species